GGUAGUUCAAGUGGCAGCUAUGUAUGGGGUAGUGGUCAAGGAGGUUCAAAGGGGUCUGGAAGUCUAGGAGGUUUUGGUGGAAGU